CCUACCUUUAACUCUGGGAUAGCCCGAAGAAAUUCGGAUUAAUACCCGGAUAAUAUCAAGAUAUGACAUCACAGCUUGAUUAAAGGCGCGAGUUGGUUAAAGAUGGGCAUGCGUCCCAUUAGUUAGUUGGGGAGGUAACGGCUCACCAAGGCGAUGAUGGGUAGGGGCUCUGAGAGGAUUACCCCCCACAUUGGUACUGAGACAGGGACCAAACUCCUACGGGAGGCAGCAGUGAGGAAUAUUGGGCAAUGGACGGAAGUCUGACCCAGCCAUGCCGCGUGCAGGAAGACGGCCUUAUGGGUUGUAAACUGCUUUUAUGUAGGGAAAAAGUUCAUAUUGCGAUAUGAUUUGAUGGUACUACAGGAAUAAGAAUCGGCUAACUCCGUGCCAGCAGCCGCGGUAAUACGGAGGAUUCGAGCGUUAUCCGGAUUUAUUGGGUUUAAAGGGUGCGCAGGCGGACUAUUAAGUCAGUGGUGAAAGGUAUCGGCUUAACCGAUGAAGUGCCAUUGAUACUGUAAAGCUUGAGUGUAGAUGACGUAGGCGGAAUGUAGCAUGUAGCGGUGAAAUGCAUAAAGAUGCUACAGAACACCGAUAGCGAAGGCAGCUUACGAAGGUACAACUGACGCUCAUGCACGAAAGCGUGGGGAUCAAACAGGAUUAGAUACCCUGGUAGUCCACGCCAGUAACGAUGAUAACU
rnacentral:rRNA from 1 species